GUUACAACUACUUUCUCAAGUAUAUUCAUAAUGAGGAAGUUUCCUUCAAAUUGAUUUUCUUUCUUUUCAAGUCCAACUCGAAACUAACAUGGUGUAGCAGGGGAAGUUGCUUUGAAUUCAAGUGGUGGAUUGAAGAAGCUAUCUUUAUUAAUUGAUAACUAUGAAGAGGUUGCACUGAUAUUUACUCAAACUCUCUAAGUGCAUCAUGAAAAUACAAUUCUGGUCAAUCUUAGGAUCUCAACAAAAUGGACCUGUCUACACAAUGCAGUUGGACCAUUCCACAAAUGUAGAAGAAAAUUUGGAAGCCAGGCAGAGGAAAACAACAUUCCGCCACUACUUUUCAAGAUUCUGCACACCAAUUUUUCUGGAGGUGUGUCUUCUAUUUAAUUCAAGAAUCCAAAUUCGCUAGUUAUCCUGAUUGAUAACUCUUUUCAGAUGUUCAUUGUGUUUGUUAAAAUUCUUCCCAUCAUCUUCCCACCAGCUAUGUUCAGUUGUAGAUUGUUUGUGUUGGACUUUUGCAAUGCAACCAUGUAGAUUUGAUCAUAUCCCUACUACUUGUUGGUUCAAUUUAACUCUGAUGAUGUGCAACCAUGAUAAAGAAGGAAAUAGCUCAUAUGUAUCUACAUGAAUAUCAUUUUGAUUUUAAAGUUGAACUCUUGAAAAUUGCAAAUUGUUUUUCUCCAAACAGUCUUAACUAAUCGUGUAAUCAUGCAGGAGGCUCAAUGACAUGUCUAUUGGGAGCUCGUCGUUGAAUUUUAUUGAGAAUAUGACAUCUUUAACCAACUUGUAUGAUCAUAUGAUCUCAUCAUAUGUAGUAAUACUAAUCUGUUAGAUCUUUUGUUUUUUCUUUUUUCAUCCAUGCCUCGGAAACUUAAAACAAGAUACUCAUAUAUAUCUGAUUUGUGCUUUUCUCUACAGAGUCCUAAGAAACAAUAUGCUUUUUGGUACUAUUCCAUCCACCAUUGGAAAACACCUAUUAUUGAUGCAGAUGUGAGUGUUUCAAGUUAUGUUUGGUUUAAAUUACAAUUCUCAUGUUUACUGAGUUCAUCCAUUUGCAGUCUAUGU